CGGAUUGCAGGCUGCAACUCGCCUGCAUGAAGUCGGAAUUGCUAGUAAUCGCGAAUCAGCAUGUCGCGGUGAAUACGUUCCCGGGUCUUGUACACACCGCCCGUCACACCAUGGGAGUUGGCAACGCCCGAAGCCAGUGACCCAACCGAGAGGAGGGAGCUGUCGAAGGCGGGGCCGGUAACUGGGGUGAAGUCGUAACAAGGUACC
rnacentral:rRNA from 1 species